rnacentral:rRNA from 1 species
UACGGGGGGGGCAAGCGUUGUUCGGAAUUACUGGGCGUAAAGGGCUCGUAGGCGGCCAACUAAGUCAGACGUGAAAUCCCUCGGCUUAACCGGGGAACUGCGUCUGAUACUGGAUGGCUCGAGUGUGGGAGAGGGAUGCGGAAUUCCAGGUGUAGCGGUGAAAUGCGUAGAUAUCUGGAGGAACACCGGUGGCGAAGGCGGCAUCCUGGACCACGACUGACGCUGAGGAGCGAAAGCCAGGGGAGCAAACGGG